AUACGGAGGAUCCAAGCGUUAUCCGGAAUCAUUGGGUUUAAAGGGUCCGUAGGCGGCCUUAUAAGUCAGCGGUGAAAGUUUUUGGCUUAACCAAAACAUUGCCGUUGAUACUGUAGGGCUUGAAUUCUUGUGAAGUAACUAGAAUAUGUAGUGUAGCGGUGAAAUGCUUAGAUAUCACAUGGAAUACCGAUUGCGAAGGCAGGUUACUAACAAACGAUUGACGCUGAUGGACGAAAGCGUGGGUAGCGAACAGGAUUAGAUACCCUGGUAGUCCACGCCGUAAACGAUGGAUACUAGUUGUUGGAUUUUCGGAUUCAGUGACUAAGCGAAAGUGAUAAGUAUCCCACCUGGGGAGUACGGUCGCAAGACUGAAACUCAAAUGAAUUGACGGG
rnacentral:rRNA from 1 species